rnacentral:misc_RNA from 1 species
AAGAUUGAAAAUAAAGGUACUAGGGGAGGGAUUAAAGGAGCAUGAGUGUCUAUGGGUUGUCUGCAAUCUUGGGUGUGGUAGUUUGAUGAGAUUCCCAUGAAUUUUUAUCCUCCACAACACUAAUUCUUGUGAUUUCCUAGGUUUCAACACCAUAUUCUAGUGGAUCGGUAAAUUCCAAGUCUAGUGGUAGUGUUUUUGUUUUUAAGCAAAUGGAAGUGCUUGCUGGAGGUGGAAACAAAGAAGGCAGAGCCGUGAGAAUAAGAUGUGUGCCUAGGUGCAUGAGCCGAGUGCUUGUUAAAGGUUGCCUGGCUUUCUCAUGUAGAGGUGUAAGGGUUGGAGCAUUGUGCCACAGUUGCGUCUUUAGCAACAUUAGUUGCCCCAUAGUUAACCAAUAACUUGUCUAUUGAAUAUUGCAGUUCUUGUGUGUGGCAUUUGUUGUUAUAUACAUGUACAAUAAGUGGAGUUGGUUUUUUAGAAGAAAGGCUUUUUUUUUUAGCCUUCUUUUUUUUGACUUGCUUUUCUAUGUAUGAAAUUUUUUUUGUUUCUUUGUAAUUUUUUU